ACCAUACCUAGACCCAAGAAGCCAGCAACCUUGCACAAAUCAGGAAUAAACCCAUUCACCAAGCUCUUGCUAGAUGGAAAAAUGGAGAAAGUGAGUGGUGAAUGAACGUGUCACAAACAGUUGAAUGUGAGACUUCUGGGCAUCCCAAUGCUCUCGGGGAUCCCAAUAUUGGGAUCUCAAUAUCUCGGAGAUACCGAAUGCUUCACAGAGAAGACAAGGGACAUCAGCUACAGAGAGGUGCAAAAGAGCUUUAGCAGAAGGCCCAGUACUUUCCAUCAGUCUGCCCCAGAGAGUGGCAUUCUCUGUCUUCCAGACACUUUUCAGAAGCAUUGUCACUAGCUCUGCAGCCCUGUUCAAUAAGGGCUGAAAUGUAUGUAUUAGCAAGAAUAUUUUACUGCUUGCAAGAAACCCCAUUCCAACCACUUAGAUCUGCUACAGGACAGAGAUUCUUCAACUUAUACUGGCACAGCUCAGCUCUCCCUACAGAGUCCAGACGUGAUGAUAUAUAAUGGGCAAAAUGAUGAGCAUCCUUAAAUAUGAGUGAUAUUGUCAGCACUUCAAGGAAAUUGUAUAUACAGAUCUACUUAGUUAAUAAUGAGACGUGCACACCUUCUGUGCACCUCACUGAGCACACAUUUAAACAUAUGGC
ensembl:lncRNA